GGCAUCGUUUUUUAUUGAAAACUCCGGUGGAUAGAGAUGGGCACGCGCAAGAUUAGAUAGUUGGUAGGGUAACGGCCUACCAAGUCAGUGAUCUUUAGGGGGCCUGAGAGGGUGAUCCCCCACACUGGUACUGAGACACGGACCAGACUCCUACGGGAGGCAGCAGUGAGGAAUAUUGGACAAUGGGUUAGCGCCUGAUCCAGCCAUCCCGCGUGAAGGACGACGGCCCUAUGGGUUGUAAACUUCUUUUGUAUAGGGAUAAACCUACUCUCGUGAGAGUAGCUGAAGGUACUAUACGAAUAAGCACCGGCUAACUCCGUGCCAGCAGCCGCGGUAAUACGGAGGGUGCAAGCGUUAUCCGGAUUUAUUGGGUUUAAAGGGUCCGUAGGCGGAUCUGUAAGUCAGUGGUGAAAUCUCACAGCUUAACUGUGAAACUGCCAUUGAUACUGCAGGUCUUGAGUGAGGUAGAAGUAGCUGGAAUAAGUAGUGUAGCGGUGAAAUGCAUAGAUAUUACUUAGAACACCAAUUGCGAAGGCAGGUUACUAUGUCUUAACUGACGCUGAUGGACGAAAGCGUGGGGAGCGAACAGGAUUAGAUACCCUGGUAGUCCACGCCGUAAACGAUGCUAACUCGUUUUUGGGUCUUUAAGAUUCAGAGACUAAGCGAAAGUGAUAAGUUAGCCACCUGGGGAGUACGAACGCAAGUUUGAAACUCAAAGGAAUUGACGGGGGCCCGCACAAGCGGUGGAUUAUGUGGUUUAAUUCGAUGAUACGCGAGGAACCUUACCAAGGCUUAAAUGGGAAUUGAUCGGUUUAGAAAUAGACCUUCCUUCGGGCAAUUUUCAAGGUGCUGCAUGGUUGUCGUCAGCUCGUGCCGUGAGGUGUUAGGUUAAGUCCUGCAACGAGCGCAACCCCUGUCACUAGUUGCCAUCAUUCAGUUGGGGACUCUAGUGAGACUGCCUACGCAAGUAGAGAGGAAGGUGGGGAUGACGUCAAAUCAUCACGGCCCUUACGCCUUGGGCCACACACGUAAUACAAUGGCCGGUACAGAGGGCAGCUACCUAGCGAUAGGAUGCAAAUCUCGAAAGCCGGUCUCAGUUCGGAUUGGAGUCUGCAACUCGACUCUAUGAAGCUGGAAUCGCUAGUAAUCGCGCAUCAGCCAUGGCGCGGUGAAUACGUUCCCGGGCCUUGUAC
rnacentral:rRNA from 2 species